rnacentral:rRNA from 1 species
UACAGAGGUCCCAAGCGUUGUUCGGAUUCACUGGGCGUAAAGGGUGCGUAGGUGGCCAGGUAAGUUUGGUGUGAAAGCUCGGAGCUUAACUCCGAAAAGUCAUUGAAUACUAUCUGGCUGGAGGGUCGGAGGGGAGACUGGAAUUCUCGGUGUAGCAGUGAAAUGCGUAGAUAUCGAGAGGAACACCAGUGGCGAAGGCGGCGACCUGGUUCGAUACUGACACUGAGGUGCGAAAGCGUGGGGAGCAAACAGG